AGUGAACGCUGGCGGUAGGCCUAACACAUGCAAGUCGAACGGCAGCACAGUAAGAGCUUGCUCUUACGGGUGGCGAGUGGCGGACGGGUGAGGAAUACAUCGGAAUCUACUUUUUCGUGGGGGAUAACGUAGGGAAACUUACGCUAAUACCGCAUACGACCUACGGGUGAAAGCAGGGGAUCUUCGGACCUUGCGCGAUUGAAUGAGCCGAUGUCGGAUUAGCUAGUUGGCGGGGUAAAGGCCCACCAAGGCGGCGAUCCGUAGCUGGGCUGAGAGGAUGAUGCGCCACACUGGAACUGAGACACGGUCCAGACUCCUACGGGAGGCAGCAGUGGGGAAUAUUGGACAAUGGGCGCAAGCCUGCUCCAGCCAUACCGCGUGGGUGAAGAAGGCCUUCGGGUUGUAAAGCCCUUUUGUUGGGAAAGAAAAGCAGCAGGUUAAUCCCCCGCUGUUCUGACGGUACCCAAAGAAUAAGCACCGGCUAACUUCGUG
rnacentral:rRNA from 1 species